CUUCAAACGGGGACAUGUGCACGCUCUGUUUACACAUCCACUCACACCUGUGCACCCUCCGUAGUUCUAUGGUCUGGGGGACCCUGUCUUCCUGCCRUGGUUCUACGUCUUUACACACACUCUGUAAUAAAGUCUUAUGGAAUGUAUGCCGCGUCUAACGCAAUACAAUACAACUUUCAGCAACGGAUCUCUUGGCUCUCGCAUCGAUGAAGAACGCAGCGAAAUGCGAUAAGUAAUGUGAAUUGCAGAAUUCAGUGAAUCAUCGAAUCUUUGAACGCACCUUGCGCCCCUUGGCUAUUCCGAGGGGCAUGCCUGUUUGAGUAUCAUGAACACCUCAACUCUCAUGGUUCGCCAUGAUGAGCUUGGACUCUGGGGGUUUUGCUGGCCYGCGGUCGGCUCCCCUCAAAUGAAUCAGCCUCCCAGUGUUUGGUGGCAUCAYGGGUGUGAUAAAUAUCUACGCUCGCGGUYGUCUGCCAGGUAACCUUUGGUGACAAAGGUUUGCUGGAGCUCACAGAUGUCUCUCCUCGGYGAGGACAGCUUUUUUGAACGUUCGAUCUCAAAUCAGGUAGGACUACCCGCUGAACUUAAGCAUAU
rnacentral:sRNA from 1 species